rnacentral:rRNA from 1 species
AUGUUAGAAGUAGGAAACGUGAAAACGCGCUUUGCCAUGGCGAAUACGUAUUCCACUUGCAAUACGUCUUCACCAACGGCGAGGGUCAGAAUCGAUAAGGUUCAGAGAGCAGCUGAACGCAAAAACACCAACACCCCUCUCCUCCCGCUUCACUCCGCUGGCCAUGGCGGAAACCCUCGUGGGCCUCCGUCUGGCCGCCUCCGCGGUUCCGCAUCCACGGGGCAACCGACGCCCCUGCGCCGCCGUGCCGGCCCACCACCGCCUCCCCCAGCUCCGGCGCGGCCGGCUCUGCGCCCGGGCGGCGGUCACGGGCGCGCCGGAGGUGGACGAGGACGAGGCCAUGAGCAUCGACAACCUCUGCAGCUUCUUCGACCUCAACGUCGGCAAGUGGAACGGCGUCUUCUACGUACGUACGCGCCGCCCUCCGCCCUUUAUAAUCCCCAAAGCCUCCCUGCUUCCGGGUCCCUGCUUCGCUUAAGCAUUGUCUGUGUGCAGCAAUUCGAUGCGCACGGGAGGGUGCAGCAGGAGAUCAGCACGCGCCUGUCCGCCAGCACCUACGGAGAGGGCGACCUCAUCAGCCUCAUGCAAUCGCUGUAUAUCAAGCAGGCAUCGUCCGGGAUAACAUUUGCAGACGAGGAGGAUCCUGAACCGGAGUGGGCGGAGUACAAAAUCAAAGAGACCAACAUGUUCACUGUAGACAAAUAUCAGCAGAUUGGGUUCUUCCCUGACCAGAAGGCAUUUGCGUUGAGAUAUCAGACCGCUGGAAUGCUGGAGACUGUCCUUCGAGCCGGUGUGCUCGGAGAUGAUGAUACUGGUGAAGAGUCCCCCAAAAACUUGAAGCUUCCUUCUCGUAAACCAUCUAUUGUCUGUGAGAAUUGUAUUUACUCUCUUGAUGGCAAUGGCCGGGUAAGAGCUUUCCACAUAAUGGACCCUAAGGGGGUGCUCGAUACACUUAUUGUUUUUCAUGAAAAUCAAGGCACCGUAUUACCACUCGCCGACUCUUCAAGUAAUGAUCCUGAGAUUCCCAGCAACGAUAGGAUAAAUGCCCUGCUUGGAAGGUGGGAGGGCCAUUCUGUGACAAAGAGGAGUGGGGUGUAUGGAGCAACACUCGAUGAGGCUGAUACGGUUGUCCUUCUUGAAAUGGACAACAAUGGUCAGCUGAUUCAGGAUAAUAUAUCAACGAAAACCGGAACUAGCACGACAACAACGAUCCACUGGACAGGAGUAGCGAAUAACAACUUGCUUCAGUUUGAUGGAGGAUAUGAGAUUACUUUGCUACCUGGAGGGAUGUACAUGGGAUAUCCAUCAGACAUCAGCAAGUGCAUUGAGCAGUUAGAUCCUUUUAAUUUGGAGUUUUGUUGGAUGGAAUCGCCAGGAAAGAGGCAGCGGCUCGUGCGGACCUUCGACUCGGCUGGUCUGGCUGUGUCGUCGACCUACUUCAUAGAGACCAAAGUAUGA